rnacentral:rRNA from 1 species
UACGGAGGGUGCAAACGUUGCUCGGAAUCAUUGGGCGUAAAGCGCACGUAGGCGGCGGCAUAAGCGGGAUGUGAAAGCCCAGGGCUCAACCCUGGAAGUGCAUCCCGAACUGUGUCGCUUGAAUCUCGGAGGGGGACAGAGAAUUCCCGGUGUAGAGGUGAAAUUCGUAGAUAUCGGGAGGAAUACCAGUGGCGAAGGCGCUGUCCUGGACGAAGAUUGACGCUGAGGUGCGAAAGCGCGGGGAGCAAACAGG